ensembl:snRNA U6 U6 spliceosomal RNA
GUGCUUACUUCUGCAGCAUAUAUACUAAAAUUGGACAAGAGACAUUAGCGUGAGCUCCACACAAGGAUGACACGCAAAUUCAUUAUGUGUUCCAUAUUUUU